rnacentral:rRNA from 1 species
UACAGAGGGGGGCAAGCGUUUGUUCGGAAUUACUGGGCGUAAAGGGCGCGUAGGCGGCCUUCUAAGUCGAACGUGAAAUCCCCGGGCUCAACCCGGGAACUGCGUCCGAUACUGGAAGGCUUGAAUCCGGGAGAGGGAUGCGGAAUUCCAGGUGUAGCGGUGAAAUGCGUAGAUAUCUGGAGGAACACCGGUGGCGAAGGCGGCAUCCUGGACCGGCAUUGACGCUGAGGCGCGAAAGCCAGGGAGCAAACGGG